AUACGGGGGAUUCAAGCGUUAUCCGGACUUAUUGGGUUUAAAGGGUGCGUAGGCUGAUAAAUCAGUCAGCGGUGAAAUUUACGGGCUUAACUUGUAGCUUGCCGUUGAAACUAUUUAUCUAGAGAUAUUUCGGCGUAUGCGGAAUGUAUCAAGUAGCGGUGAAAUGCAUAGAUAUGCUACAGAACACCAAUCGCGAAGGCAGCAUAAGAGGCAUCAUCUGACGCUGAUGCACGAAAGCGUGGGGAUCAAACAGGAUUAGAUACCCUAGUAGUCCACGCUGUAAAGUAUGAUAACUAACUUUGAGCGAUACGCAGUUAGAGGGUGCGAGAAAUCAUUAAGUUAUCCAGCUAGGGAUUCCGUUCGCAAUAAUGAAGCUCAAAGUAACUGACGGGG
rnacentral:rRNA from 1 species